ensembl:snRNA U6 U6 spliceosomal RNA
GUGCUCACUUCAGCUGCGCAUAUGAAAAAUGAGAACAAUACAGGGAAGAUUAGCAUGGUCCUGCCCAAGGAUGAUGUGCACAUUUGUAAGGCAUUUCAUAUUGUU